CUCAUACCCAAUAUCCCCAUUCCACUUAAAUUCAUGCUUAACAGCAUAUUGAGAUUGUUCUUCUAUGUACCUCAUUGUCAUAGGAGAUACAUCAGAAAUCCACCUUGUUGCAAAUUCUCUCAUUCCAGUCAUCCUCUCAAUCACCUUCACUCUAAUCUCUUCAAACAAGGUUAUGAUAGACUUGUGCCAAGCUGACAAUAUCCAACUGUUAAAGGUCUCACAUAUUGUUGUUCUCCACUGCAUCACAUUUACUCCAAUCUUUGAAGAAUGCUCUACACCAGGACUGUUUUGGGUGUUUCAGCAAGUCCUCAACUAUCUUACUGUCACCUAAUUCAACCAGCUCAUCUAACUUAGCCUUCAAAUAUGCUUCAAAUGAAGCCCUUGCACAUGCCCAAAAUUUCUUCCUUCUUUCCUCUCCUUUCCACUUUUGUUUCCAGUUG
rnacentral:lncRNA from 1 species